rnacentral:misc_RNA from 1 species
CGGGGCGUGACGCUCAGAACCAUAGGGAUCACCAUUUUAUUUUCAAUCAUCGAAGGAAUCACCAGAUCGGUUAACGGCCGGUACAACAGCUAUUUCAGUUUCAGAUUUCACACUCACCAACCUUCACUGCUCUUACGCCACUCUUUCUCUCUUUCUCCUCUACCAAAACGUGGCUUUCACUUCCCUUCUGAGAAUCUCUGCUGCAAAUAUUCUGGCGUUUCGGCUCACCCACCUAACAACACCAGAUGUUCUCUCUCCUCUCUCGAAUUUCUAGAGAAAGCUAGCUUUGGAUGCUGAGAAGAUUAGUUUUGAACUCUGUGAGAAAGAGGAAUCAUGAGAACGCAACUUUUAGAAAUCCAGCCGAGGGAACUGAAGUUUAUAUGUGAGUUAUGGACCCAUAUUAAUCAUUUGUUAUUCUUGAUUAUUGAUGUACUGAUUUCAUCGUAUUUGGGAUUGUUAUUGCUUUUAAAGAUAGUUGGUGCUUUGUUUGAUCAAUGAGAAUUGGGCUGCGAAACGAGAGUAAGAAGAUCUAUAAAAUUUGACAUUUUUAUCUUUCUUGUUGCGUUUUCUUUUGGUUUUGGGAAGACAAAAAGGGAAAAAAAAAAGGUGGGUGGGUUACCUUAAUAUCUUUAAAUUGCACAGAACCUCUUAUUUAUUUCACUUUUAUAGCACUGGAAACAAUGAAAAGAAUGUUUCUUUUCCCCCAAUUAUUUAUUUUUUUUCCAGAUUAGUCUUAGAGACAAUCUGGGAAUAGUUUUUGUAGCUGCGGAUAUAUAAAUGAUUAGUUUUAUUGUUUUUGCGGAUUGAAAUACUUGUGAUUGUUCCCCCUUUUGUAGUUGAAUUAAAGAAGCAGAGCUCAUGUGCAGUCCAACUUACCAAUAGCACCUAUGACAAUGUUGCUUUCAAGGUUAAGACUACUUCCCCUAAGAAAUAUUGUGUACGACCAAAUGUUGGCAUUAUCUUGCCAAAAUCAACUUGUGAAUUUAUCGGUAAGCAUUUUGCAUUUCCCUCCAAGUAAUCAUGACUGUUUGCGGGCAUCCAUGUGUACACACAUGCAAACAAUACUUGGGUCUAUUAACCUUUCUUUUCAAUGUUGUGUAAUGAAGUUUAAAGCUGCAAGUGGUGUUUAUUGAAAUGUUUUUCAAGAGUUAGUGGUUAUUAUCUUGUAAUCCUAUUACUUACUUUGUUGUUAGAAUUUUCUAUGGUUCAUCUUCCUUUUAGUGAAGUUAGUUUUAAGAGUACAGAUCUGGGUUCUCUCUGGUAAUUCACAUCUUCAGCAGACCCUCUUGAGACAACUUUUCAAUCUUGGAUUAAAUUGUUGUCAUAAUUUAACUUAGAAAGCAUAGGAUAAAAGGCAUUGAUUAAGCUGUUAUGCUAAUUUCUUUGUUUUGAUGCUGUUUUUAGUCAUUUUCCCCUCCUACCCAACUCUGCACUUCAGUUACUAUUUACUCUGUGCAGCAAUUUUUAACUGCAUACUAUUUACUUAUGAUAAGUGUAUUGUUGUUCUGUGCUUUUUGGGGUUGAUGUUAAUAUAGUGACAAUGCAAGCUCCAAAGGCAACUAGUAAUGAAAAGGUGUGCAAAGACAAGUUUUUAAUCCAAAGCGUAGUUGUUCCUGUUGGAACAACUGAGAAGGACAUAACAUCUAACAUGUUUUACAAAGAUGAUGGCAAGUACGUUGAAGAGAUCAAGCUGAAAGUGGGCCUUAUCAGCCCACCUCAAUCUCCCGUACUAUCUCCAAUUAAUGGGGUGCUUAAGCAGGAACCUCUUUUUGGAGCUUCUGUGCUGAGAGAUCCUAUAUUGAGUAAAGUUGAGAAUACCACUCCACCACACAUGGUUAGAGAUUUCUUCUAGCUGGACAAUGCUGGAAUUACUAAGCUAGUAUGAUAUAACUUUUGAAUACUAUGUAUUUGUUAUUCUUUCAUUUGUGUCAGGUUGCCAAGAAUGCAGAAUUCAAAAUGAUUUAUGAUCAGGAGUUCAAAAAAGAAAAGGAUGUGGAGUUGAAGCCAAAUAAGGAUAUUGAUGAUCAGGAGUUGAAGCCAGAAAAUGAUGCAGAAAUGAUGCCAAGUAAUGAUGUGGUUAAUGUUGAGGCAGUAAAUCUGGCGAAUGAUGAAGAGUUGAAGUCAGAAAAUAAUGCCGUCAAUGAUAAUCUGGCAAAGGAUGCACAUUUAUCUCCCCCAAAGAAUGCAGAAUUUGUAACAUUAAAGGCUGUGGAGGAGUUGAAGUUUGUCAAUGACAUUGAGGAGAUGAAGUCAAAACUGAAUGUACUUGAAUCAAAGCUUAAUGAGGCUGAAUCUACUAUUUCAAAAUUGUCAGAGGAGAGAAGAUUAAGCAUUCAGGACAGAAAAAUUUUGAAGGACGAACUAGCCAUGUUGAGGAGCAGGACAAGCACAAGAAGAGUUCAAGUGGGAUUUCCUCUUCUUUUUGUUGUUAUGGUUGCUCUUGUCAGUGUUUUGCUUGGAUACCUUUCUCACCCAUGAGUACGAAGACAUUACAGAGUAUGUCAAAGUUUGUUAUAGUUAGAACUUUAAAGUACUAAUUGAAUUCUCCAAGGAAUAGGAAGGGACUGUAAGUUCAUCCUUUUUGGGUUUAUUCAAUCUAGGUUAGUAUGUUGAGUGUGUAGAUGAUACUCUUAAUGAAAAUAUCGAAUGUAGAGUGCCUGAUUCUGAUAAAAAGAUGAGAAAAUAUUAUCUGAAAUAGUGGAUAAGAGGGUAGCUGUAAUAGAAUACUACUGUAAUAGAAUACUAUCUGUCCAAUGACCAAUGCCUCACUGUUGUAGAUACAUUAUUCCUGUCUUGAAACAGGUUGGUCAUACAUGUACACUCAUAUAUAUGCUCUUCCCUUAUAAAGUUGAGUUGAGAACGAACUGUGUUCUUAUUUUUAUAUAUAAACAAGGCAUAAGCUUAAGCAGAGACAGCCUAGCAAUUCAUGGGUUCGGAAUUGCAAAGGCUGAUAAAUGUAAUGAAUUGCUGUAGAAAUUAAUUGUCAGAUGUGUUGUCCAUAUUGUAUAACAGCAACAGCCCCAACCCAGAAAAAUAAAGGAUCAAUAAAGUUAAAUAUGUCAUGAGAAUAGACAAUGGAGAUGGUACUCUGCUUCAUGUUCUUCUAACAAUUCCCUGAAUGGGAAAGCAAAAAUCGAUUCUGCUGUGUGUCGGAGAACAGAAAAGGCUUCAGCCAGGAUGCUAUUUCCAGCAACAACUGAGGGAGCUGCUGUAACUAUAGCAGAAGAGUUUGAGAAGGUAUUUUCAAUUCAGAUGCAUUUGAAUAUGCAAGUAAAAACUUUUGGUAAAAAUAAUUCUCUACCCACUAGUAUACUUCUAAUUUAGAAAUAAUUUUAAAAGAAAGAAUGCAGUUGUAUUUUGCUUCUGAAAUAUUAGACGAUGG